GCUGGGUUUAGAACGUCGUGAGACAGUUCGGUCCCUAUCUGCCGUGGGUGUAGGAAAAUUGAGAGGAUCUGUCCCUAGUACGAGAGGACCGGGAUGGACAUACCUCUGGUGGACCGGUUGUUGCGCCAGCAGCAUAGCCGGGUAGCUAUGUAUGGUCGGGAUAAACGCUGAAAGCAUCUAAGCGUGAAACCCACCUCGAAACGAGUUUUCCCUUGAGAGCCGUGGAAGACCACCACGUUGAUAGGCUCGGUGUGGAAGCGCGGUAACGCGUGAAG
rnacentral:rRNA from 1 species